UCGUUUCUUCACCGCCAUUAUACACUUCUCUAGACCCUCAUAGUCGGUUCAUGUCUCUGACUCUUGUCAACUUCUUUAGCUCGCCGUCGAAUGGGUGCUUCUGUCGCUGCUGUUGCUUGAUCUGCUGCCAUCCUUCUCGUUCGUGUACGCUAGCCAUAGUGGAGUUAGAUUGCUGAUUCUCUUUCCCUGUCAUCGUGCUGUUCUGUGUCAGCGAGAGGUUACAAGUGAAAGUGAUAAAGAGGUCAGGAUAUCCCACCCAACAACAUAUGGCCAUUACAUCUUGAUAGUUUUGGAUCAUAUAUCAAGCACCUCCAGUAAAUGAUGGAGGCAAGAUGACUCGAUUCCAAUGCUUGGGGCAUUUGUCUCUCCUCUAAGCAAUGCAUCAGAUAGACCUUGUUGUGCUUAAUGGUUGAGUCAUAGCCACCAGAACUGAACCGGAAGAGAGGAGGAUAUUGCAAUGAAAUAAAGAACUUAUCAGAGUUCAAUGAAGAUUAAGAUAUGGAGGUUAGACCUAUUAAAAGUACUAGAUUUCAUAAUCUGGAGCAACAGCACAACCAGAAAACAAACUUGCCAGGUUAGACAGCAUUACAAGUAACCGCACUACAUGGAGGGAUGGUCUUCUUUUUCCUGUUAAUAUUUAAUAUGAGAUUAUAAUGAUAGUAGAACAUUAGUUAAAUGGGUCAUGUUGUACCUUGAUUGUUGGUGAUAUCUUGCAAUAGUAACUGCUGAUGUAUUGAUUCCAGUAAUUUUGUAGGUGGAGUAUUUUCAAGUUACUAGUAUCUCUUGCUAUUGACUCUUUUGUCGUUGGAUUGGUGUAGUAUGAACCAUUAAGUUGAGGCUACAAGUCAGAAAACAAUUGUUAGCUAUCUGUGAAGAAAUAAAGUUCAAUUAGAAUAUUGAGGUUGAGGAAAGAUAAAUCACCUCUUGUACAGAAGUUAUGAUGGUCUGCGAACUACGUGCUGUAGAAAGGGAAGAAUAAAAUUGGAGCAAAUGGUAUGACAGUUAA